AUUGAACGCUGGCGGCAUGCCUUACACAUGCAAGUCGAACGGCAGCACGGACUUCGGUCCGGUGGCGAGUGGCGAACGGGUGAGUAAUAUAUCGGAACAUACCUUGUAGUGGGGGAUAACUAUCCGAAAGGAUAGCUAAUACCGCAUACGCUAUAAGGAGGAAAGCGGGGGAUCGUAAGACCUCGUGCUAUAAGAGUGGCCGAAAGCUGAUUAGCUAGUUGGUGAGGUAAAGGCCCACCAAGGCGAAGAUCAGUAGCUGGUCUGAGAGGACGACCAGCCACACUGGAACUGAGACACGGUCCAGACUCCUACGGGAGGCAGCAGUGGGGAAUUUUGGACAAUGGGGGCAACCCUGAUCCAGCAAUGCCGCGUGAGUGAAGAAGGCCUUCGGGUUGUAAAGCUCUUUUGUCAGGGAAGAAACGGUUGUGGCUAAUAUCCAUGGCUAAUGACGGUACCUGAAGAAUAAGCACCGGCUAACUACGUGCCAGCAGCCGCCGUAAGAC
rnacentral:rRNA from 1 species